UACGGAGGGUGCAAGCGUUGUUCGGAUUUACUGGGCGUAAAGCGCGCGCAGGUGGGUGAACAAGUCGGAAGUGAAAUCCCAGGGCUCAACCCUGGGGCUGCUCCCGAAACUGUACGCCUAGGGACUGGUAGAGGCUGGUAGAAUUCCCGGUGUAGCGGUUGAAUGCGUAGAGAUCGGGAAGAAUACCCGUGGCGAAGGCGGCCAGCUGGGCCAGGUCCGACACUGAGGCGCGAAAGCGUGGGGAGCAAACAGG
rnacentral:rRNA from 1 species